rnacentral:rRNA from 1 species
UACGUAGGGUGCGAGCGUUAAUCGGAAUUACUGGGCGUAAAGCGUGCGCAGGCGGUUUUGUAAGCCAGGUGUGAAAUCCCCGGGCUCAACCUGGGAAUGGCAUUUGGGACUGCAAGGCUGGAGUGCGGCAGAGGAGACUGGAAUUCCUGGUGUAGCAGUGAAAUGCGUAGAUAUCAGGAGGAAUACCGAUGGCGAAGGCAGGUCUCUGGGCUGACACUGGCGCUCGAUGCA